rnacentral:rRNA from 1 species
AUGUCGUCCUGGGGCCUGGGCUGGAAGCGCAGCUCCGAGAUCUUCCACCUCACCCUCGACUACGGCGACUUCGCCGACGAGCCCGAUCAGGACCCCUCCUCGCCCCCGGCCCCGCCCCCGCAGUCCCCCACCGCCGCGUCGCCCACCGCCUCCUCCUCCUCGCCCGUCGCCACCAUGAACGGCGACCUCGGCUUCCGCAUCGAGCUCGACUGGUCCACCAGCGACGACGAGGACCAGGUCGCGCUGCGCCUCCAGUCCCAGCUCAUGGUCGCGCUGCCCCCGCCCCACGACGUCGUCUGCGUCGAUCUCAGGCCCGCCGACGACGGGGACGAGGUGGGGGUGGAGAUGCGGGUCGUCAGGAGACGGGAGGCGCUGCGCUCGGUGCGGGUCGCGCGGGCGCUGGGCUCCACGCAGAGCACCGGCGACGGCGCCGUUGUCCUCGCGCGCCUCAUCAGAUCCAACCUCGCGCCCGCACCGGCUGCUGAUGGAGCCGUCGCCGCAGGGGUGCCCGUGCUCGCCGACCACUGGCGCUCCGUCACGGUGCUCAGCCUCUGCAACUGCGGCCUCAUGGUGCUUCCGGUUGAACUAACUCGCCUUUCGUUUCUUGAGAAGCUAUAUAUUGACAACAAUAAAUUGUCAGUUUUGCCACCUGAAGUUGGUGACUUGAAGAACUUGAAAGUGCUUACAGCUGACAACAACAUGCUAGUUUCUGUCCCUGUAGAACUGCGGCAAUGUGUUUUGCUGGAGGAAUUAUCACUAGAACACAACAAGCUUGUCCGUCCAUUAUUGGAUUUCAGGUCAGUGCCUAAGCUGCGUGUAUUGCGCUUGUUCGGAAAUCCCCUAGAGUUUCUUCCAGAAAUUUUGCCGCUGCAUAACCUUAGACAUCUCACACUUGCAAAUAUUAGAAUUGAUGCACUUGAAAGUCUUAAGUCUGUCACUGUGGAAAUAGAGACUGAGAACUAUUCCUACUUCAUUGCGGCCAGGCACAAACUUAGUGCCUUCUUUUCGCUUGUUUUCCGGUUCUCUUCCUGUCACCACCCUUUGCUGGCCUCUGCGUUGGCCAAAAUAAUGGAAGAUCGUACCAAUCAAGUUGCCAUUAGCAAAGAAGAAAAUGCUGUCAGACAGCUUAUCAGCAUGAUAAGCAGUGAUAACCGUCACGUGGUCGAGCAAGCAUGCCUUGCUCUUUCGUCACUGGCGUCAGAUAUUUCAUCAGCAAUGCAGCUGAUUAAGUGUGAUAUUAUGAAGCCUAUAGAAGCUGUACUGAAAUCAUUUGAUGAUGAAGAAUUAAUAUCAGUAUUGCAAGUUGUGGUCACAUUAACUUUUGUUUCUGAUCAUGUUGCUCAAAAGAUGUUGAGAAAAGAUGUGCUGAAGUCACUGAAAGCACUUUGUGCACACAAGAACUCUGAGGUGCAACGCUUAUCUCUAUUUGCAGUUGGCAAUUUGGCUUUCUGCUUGGAGACUCGUCGCACCCUCAUUCACUCUGAGAGCUUACGUGACCUCUUAAUUCGCUCUACUUUUUCACAAGAGAAGCGUGUCAGCAAGGCAGCUGCUCGCGCUCUCGCAAUUCUAGGGGAGAACGAGAACUUGCGUCGGGCAAUAAGAGGGAGACCAGUUGCAAAGAAGGGUCUGCGCAUUCUUUCAAUGGAUGGUGGUGGCAUGAAGGGCCUUGCAACUGUCCAAAUGCUAAAACAGAUAGAGCAAGGAACUGGGAAGCGCAUACAUGAAAUGUUUGACCUCAUAUGUGGUACAUCAACAGGUGGCAUGCUUGCGAUGGCUCUUGGAAUCAAGCAGAUGAGUUUGGAUCAGUGUGAAGAGAUAUAUACAAAACUUGGUAAACUUGUAUUUGCGGAACCUGUCCCUAAGGACGAAGCUGCUACAUGGAAGGAGAAACUUGAUCAACUUUUCAAAAGUUCAUCACAGAGUUUUAGAGUGGUUGUACAUGGGUCGAAGCACAGCGCAGAUCAAUUUGAGAGGUUACUAAAGGAAAUGUGUGCUGAUGAUGACGGUGACCUUCUAAUAGAGUCUUCUGUGAAAGGCAUUCCGAAGGUUUUUGCUGUAUCAACUUUAGUCAGCGCCAUGCCUGCCCAACCAUAUAUAUUCCGGAACUAUCAGUAUCCACCGGGCACUCUGGAGGUAUCACCAGGAAUGGCAGAAAGUCCAUCUCCUGGCGCAGUUGGAACGGUUGUUUCUGGUGCACCAGUUGGGAUUAAACGUGGAGCUUUUAUGGGGAGCUGCAAGCAUCACGUAUGGGAAGCCAUAAGAGCAUCAUCUGCAGCUCCAUAUUAUCUGGAUGAUUUCUCUGAUGAUGUAAAUCGCUGGCAAGAUGGAGCGAUUGUAGCGAACAAUCCCACGAUCUUUGCAAUAAGAGAAGCACAACUUUUGUGGCCUGAUACGAGAAUAGAUUGCCUAGUUUCAAUAGGGUGUGGCUCAGUUCCAACUAAGAGCCGGAGAGGUGGAUGGCGCUACUUGGACACUGGGCAAGUUUUAAUAGAAAGUGCAUGCUCAGUGGAGAGAGUGGAAGAAACUUUGGAUACACUGAUACCUAUGCUUCCUGAGAUGCAAUAUUUCCGCUUUAAUCCAGUUGAUGACCGGUGUGGUAUGGAGUUAGAUGAGACUGACCCGGCUGUCUGGCUUAAGUUGGAGGCUGCAACCGAAGAGUAUAUUCAGAAAAAUUUAGAGGUUUUUAAGAAUGUUUGUGAGCUUUUAGUUCCAAGAUAUCAAGAGGAAGAGAAGUCUUCUGGAAUUGUCAAAUCCCUGUCAUUUUCAAGAUUGAGUACAUCAAAAUCAGGUUUAAGUGAAAGUAAUCCUACCUUGGGAUGGAGACGUGUGGUUCUACUUGUAGAGGCUUCAUUUAAUCCUGAUUUUGGAAAGAAGAUAAAUCAUACUCGUUCGCUUGAAGCAUUCUGUUCUCAGAAUGGUAUUAGGCUUACUCUAAUGAAUAGCACUUCUGGAUUUGGAAAGCCAACUACUGCACUCCCAACUCCAAUUACCUCUCCCUUGUUUACUGGGAGUUUUCCAUCUAGUCCACUUCUGUAUAGUCCAGAAGGCACUCAACGGAUUGGUCGAAUUGACCUAGUUCCGCCGCUUAGCCUGGAUGGUCACCCAGCUAUGAAGUCAUCACCACCAACAUCGCCAAUAAAGUCAUGGCAGCCAUCUGGACAUGUUCGGUCACUGUAUGACAAGUUGCAAAAUAUGCCUCAGGUUGGUGUGAUACACCUGGCUCUUCAAAAUGAUUCAACUGGUUCGAUAUUGAGCUGGCAGAAUGACGUAUUUGUAGUUGCUGAGCCAGGGGAACUUGCAGACAGGUUUCUGCAGUGUGUCAAAACAAGCUUGUCUACCAUGCUGCAUGGAUCUAAAAGAAAGGGUGCAUAUUCUGUUUCAAAGAUUUCAUGUUUGUCUGAGUUAGUUGCGGAAUGGCCAUCGUUUGAAAUCGGUGGGAUACAUCACCGCUAUAUAGGACGCCAAACACAAGUGAUGGAAGAUAACCAAGAAAUUGGUGCCUAUAUGUUCAGGAGGACAGUGCCUGCUUGUCACAUGUCACCUGAAGAUGUUCGCUGGAUGGUUGGAGCAUGGAGGGAGAGGAUUAUUGUGUGCAGUGGCAAGUAUGGUCUUGCUCAUGGCCUCGUCAAGGCAUUCGUGGAUUCUGGUGCCAAAGCAGUCAUCUCGUCAUCUGUCGAGCCUCCAGAUUCCCAGGCAAUCGCAUACCAUGGGAUGGAUGUAAGUGGAAGCCUCGAGAAUGGGAAGUUUGUCAUUGGGGAUGAUGAAGCUGAUGAGUCGGAGCCUGAACCUGUUAGCCCUAUAAGUGACUGGGAAGACAGCGAUGCUGAGAAAAACGGUGAAGGCAACAAAGAUAUUGAUGAAGAGGAGUACUUGGCUCAGUUUAUCUGCCUCUUAUAUGACAAGUUGUUCCGUGAGGGAGUCACAGUGGACACUGCUCUUCAACAAGCACUCCGCGCACAUCCUAGGUUGAAGUACAGCUGCCAUCUACCGAAUGUUUCGUAG